rnacentral:tmRNA from 1 species
GGGGGUGAUCGGCUUCGACUUUGGUUGUUGCGUCGGGAGAAGCGAGCCGUGGUGUCCGGAGCCACGUUAAAGAGCCGGAACCAAUAAAUAAACGCCGAGCCUCAGCUCGCACUGGCCGCUUAAUAGCGACCCGUCCGUCCGGCCCCGGUCCCGCGGGUCGGGUACGGGCGUCAUCUAGUGGGACUCACCCGAUGGUUGUGUCGGCAGGCCAUCGGGGACAUGUUUUGCCGACUGAGGUCCUCCACCGGUGCCGGUGGCGAGUGGAGGACCCGAGAAUCUGAUCACUGGCUGCGCUCGGAGAAGAACCGAUAAGGCAUCGAAGGACGCGGGUUCGAUUCCCGCCACCUCCACUC